rnacentral:rRNA from 1 species
GAUGAACGCUAGCGGCAGGCUUAAUACAUGCAAGUCGAGGGGUAACAUGGGUAGCAAUACCUGAUGACGACCGGCAAACGGGUGCGGAACACGUACGCAACCUUCCCAAAACUGGUGAAUAGACCUCCGAAAGGAGGAUUAACACACCGUAACAUAAUGAAGUGGCAUCACUUUAUUAUUAUAACUCCGGUGGUUUUGGAUGGGCGUGCGGCUGAUUAGGUAGUUGGCGGGGUAACGGCCCACCAAGCCUGCGAUCAGUAACUGGUGUGAGAGCACGACCAGUCAGAUGGGCACUGAGACACGGGCCCGACUCCUACGGGAGGCAGCAGUAAGGAAUAUUGGUCAAUGGACGAAAGUCUGAACCAGCCAUGCCGCGUGAAGGAUGAAGGUCCUCUGGAUUGUAAACUUCUUUUAUAGGGGACGAAAAAAGGGAAUUCUUUCUCACUUGACGGUACCCUAGGAAUAAGCACCGGCUAACUCCGUGCCAGCAGCCGCCGUAAUAC